rnacentral:rRNA from 1 species
AGGACGAACGCUGGCGGCGUGCCUAACACAUGCAAGUCGAACGCGCUCCAUUCGGUAGCAAUACUGAUGAAGAGUGAGUGGCGAACGGGUGAGUAACACAUGAGCAACCUGCCCCGAAGACUGGGACAACACCGGGAAACCGGUGCUAAUACCGGAUAUCCCUAUCGGACCGCAUGAUCUGAUAAGGAAAUGGAUUCCGCUUCGGGAGGGGCUCGUGGCCUAUCAGCUAGUUGGUGAGGUAACGGCUCACCAAGGCAUCGACGGGUAGCUGGUCUGAGAGGACGAUCAGCCACACUGGGACUGAGACACGGCCCAGACUCCUACGGGAGGCAGCAGUGGGGAAUCUUGCGCAAUGGGCGAAAGCCUGACGCAGCAACGCCGCGUGGAGGACGAAGGCUUUCUGAGUUGUAAACUCCUUUCAGCAGGGACGAUAGUGACGGUACCUGCAGAAGAGCACCGGCAACUACGCGCCAGCAGCCGG